AUACGUAGGGGGCGAGCGUUGUCCGGAAUUACUGGGCGUAAAGGGUGCGUAGGCGGCCCAUUAAGUCAGAUGUGAAAUACCAGGGCUCAACCGUGGUAUUGCAUAUGAAACUGGUGGGCUUGAGUGCAGGAGAGGGAAGUGGAAUUCCUAGUGUAGCGGUGAAAUGCGUAGAGAUUAGGAGGAACACCAGUGGCGAAGGCGGCUUUCUGGACUGUAACUGACGCUGAGGCACGAAAGCGUGGGUAGCGAACAGGAUUAGAUACCCUGGUAGUCCACGCUGUAAACGAUGGAUACUAGGUGUAGGGCACGCUAGUGUUCUGUGCCGGAGUUAACGCAAUAAGUAUCCCGCCUGGGGAGUACGGCCGCAAGGUUGAA
rnacentral:rRNA from 1 species